UAUGGUUUAGAGUUUAAGAUUUCAUUAGGGUUUGAUUUAGGGUUAGGAUUUGGUUAGGAUUUGAUUUAGGAUUAGGAUUUGGUUAGGAUUUGAUUUAGGGUUAGAAUUUAUUUAAGAUUUGAUUUAGGAUAAGAAUUUGCUUAGGAUUUGAUUUACGAUUUAGGAUUUGAUUAGGAUUUGAAUUAGAGUUUAGGAUUUAUUUUAAGAUUUAAAGUUUGAUUAGGGUUUGGUUUAAAGUUUAGGAUUUGGUUUGGAUUUGAUUUAAGGUUUAGGAUUUACUUAGAAUUUUGAUUUAGGAUUUAAGAUUUGGUUAGGAUAUGAUUUAGGAUCAAGGUUUGAUUAGGAUUUGAUUUAGAGUUUAGAGUUUAGUUAAGAUUUGAUUUAGGAUUUAGGAUUUGAUUUAAAAUUUAGAAUUUUAUUAGGAUUUGAUUUAAUUUUAGGAUUUGAUUUAGGAUUAGGAUUUGGUUAGGAGUUCAUUUAGAGUUUAGGAUUUUAUUAGGAUUUGAUUUAGAAUUUAGGAUUUUAUUUGAGUUUGUUUAGGAUUUAAGAUUUAGUUAGUUUUUGGUCUAAAGUUUGAAUGAAGUCCAAUAGGAUUUUAAAUAGGAUUAAAUUAAGAUUGAAUUGAGAUAUAUUUAAGAUAUAUUUGUGAUAAUUCUAAUAUUUCUUCAAUAUUUCUUAUUAUUUCUUUGUAAUUCCUUUGAAGUUUCUUUGAAUUUGAUUAAAGCUUAUUUAACAUUGUUAUGGUCUAAUUAGAGUUUAAUUAGUAUUUUAUUAGAAUUAGGAUUUUGUUGUUGUAAUUUCCAUUCUACCCUCCACAAUUAGGUGCUCGAAGCAUUCUCAAGUAAGACUUCACGUAUUAAGACACCAU
rnacentral:lncRNA from 1 species